AGAAGGAACUGUGCAUUGGGAUUAUACCAGCUAUGAUUUAGGAACAAAGGAAGAGUGACCAAUGCCCACCCCAGUGAGGCGAUGGGAAGAGUAAUCAAGCAUCCCGGUCAUCAGCCAUUGUGUUGCUUCUUGGCUUUGAGUUUUCCUCAGCAUGGGCAAGAAAGGAUAAUGAGAAAGAAAUGAUGGACUGGAAGCUUCCAGAGACAAAGCACUUGGUUCCAGCUCUUGAUGGUUGCCAUCCCACAAUGCUGAAGGAAACCAGCCUGUGAGAAAAAUCAACACAAGAGGAGGACAGAGCCUGGAGGACUGUGGGGGAACUGCAGAGCUACACCCUCAGGCUUUUCCAACUAGACUCCUGGAGCAAUAACCAUCACAUCUGUGCUACAAACAGCAGGAUGAGCAAAGGCCAGGAGUGACAGGGAAUAUACCAGCUGUCUUUGGAGGAAAUAGAUUGGAAAUUCCAUACAAUACUUUUCCUGGUAUCUUAUUAGCCAGAACAUAAUGACACGGCCAUGUAUAAUUAGCAGGGACUUUGAAAAUAUCUAAAUCCUCAGCAAAAGAGGAGAAGAGGAUGGAAAUUUUGAGAUAAACAGCCAAAUGGCUACCUUGCCCUGAAGGCCAGCGGGACUUGCUGCCUGUGGAAGUUGCUCCAGUGGUGGGACCUUCUCAGGAGGACCAUGUGUCUGUUACCUGUGACCACCAGCAGUUUUUUCUUUCCAUUCUGUAGUCUCUCUCCUAAGAAUGAGGAACGUUAUUUCUUGCUAGACUUAGCCAGGAAAAAUUAGUGAAACCCUCCCACCUGCUACCUUUGCAAAGAAGCUCCAACUCCUUCCUGGCUUUUGACAUCUGCCAAUGAGUCCCUGGCUGUCUCGUAAGGCGGUACCUUACACUCUGCCUGAACCAAGCCUACAAGAACGAGAUCUGCGGCCUGAAAGACUCAGGUGGAAAGAACUCCCAUAGGGUGGGAUUUUGAUGGCAUGAAAUGAACAGUGGGUUUAAAAUAAAACAGAUCUA